GAUGAACGCUGGCGGCGUGCCUAAUACAUGCAAGUCGAGCGAACGGACGAGAAGCUUGCUUCUCUGAUGUUAGCGGCGGACGGGUGAGUAACACGUGGAUAACCUACCUAUAAGACUGGGAUAACUUCGGAAAACCGGAGCUAAUACCGGAUAAUAUUUUGAACCGCAUGGUUCAAAAGUGGAAGACGGUCUUGCUGUCACUUAUAGAUGGAUCCGCGCUGCAUUAGCUAGUUGGUAAGGUAACGGCUUACCAAGGCAACGAUGCAUAGCCGACCUGAGAGGGUGAUCGGCCACACUGGAACUGAGACACGGUCCAGACUCCUACGGGAGGCAGCAGUAGGGAAUCUUCCGCAAUGGGCGAAAGCCUGACGGAGCAACGCCGCGUGAGUGAUGAAGGUCUUCGGAUCGUAAAACUCUGUUAUUAGGGAAGAACAUAUGUGUAAGUAACUGUGCACAUCUUGACGGUACCUAAUCAGAAAGCCACGGCUAACUACGUG
rnacentral:rRNA from 1 species